rnacentral:rRNA from 1 species
AGCGAACGCUGGCGGCGUGCCUAACACAUGCAAGUCGAACGUGAAAGGGAGCACUCCCAAGUAAAGUGGCGUACGGGUGAGUAACACGUAGGUAAUCUACCCCAGAAUCUGGAAUAACCGGCCGAAAGGCUGGCUAAUACUGGAUAGAGCGACGGAAUCCGUAAUUGGGUUUUUCGGGAAAGGGAGCCUGUAAAAAUGCCUUCGUUCUGGGAUGAGCCUGCGUGCCAUCAGCUAGUUGGUGAGGUAAAAGGUUAACAAGGCAAUGCCGGGUAGCUGGUCUGAGAGGACGGACAGCCAAACUGGAACUGAAACACGGGCCAGGCCUCUACGGGAGGGAGCAAUGGGGAAUCUUGCGCAAUUGAAGAAAGGCUGACGCAGGCACGGCGCGGUAAGUAAUGAAGCCUUCGGGUUCUUAAGCUCUGGCGGUUGGGAAGAAAAUGCUUGGAGAUCACAGCUCCAGGCACUGACGGUACCAGUAAAGGAAGCACCGGCUAACUCCGUG